GACGAACGCUGGCGGCGUGCUUAACACAUGCAAGUCGAACGGAAAGGCCCUGCUUUUGUGGGGUGCUCGAGUGGCGAACGGGUGUGUAACACGUGAGUAACCUGCCCUUGACUUUGGGAUAACUUCAGGAAACUGGGUCUAAUACCGGAUAGGAGCUCCUGCUGCAUGGUGGGGGUUGGAAAGUUUCGGCGGUUGGGGAUUGACUCGCGGCUUAUCAGCUUGUUGGUGGGGUAGUUGCUUACCAAGGCUUUGACGGGUAGCCGGCCUGAGAGGGUGACCGGCAACAUUGGGACUGAGAUACGGCCCAGACUCCUACGGGAGGCAGCAGUGGGGAAUAUUGCACAAUGGGCGGAAGCCUGAUGCAGCAACGCCGCGUGCGGGAUGACGGCCUUCGGGUUGUAAACCGCUUUCGAAUGUGACGAAGCGUGAGUGACGGUAAUGGGUAAAGAAGCACCGGCUAACUACGUG
rnacentral:rRNA from 1 species